GUUUGAGACUAAGGUUGAGAAGCAGCUUACUUGUGACUGUGAGGAAAGUGAAGCUGAAAUGCAGAGUGUCAAGAUACUAAGAUGAGAUUGAUGAGAAGACUAAGAAAGCAAGUGAGUGGAAUGACGAGUUUGAGUGGAGC